AACCUAAAAAGCAGCAGCUACUGUAUGAAGGCAGGUGUGUAUGAAAUUAACCCUGAAGUUACUAUGAAACAUAACAGCACCAAAAUAAGUCAUUGGGUGCAGGGCAUGAGAGGAGUAAAACAUGAAGGAAUAGUGAAACCUGAGACACUGCACUGUGACUGGAAUCAAAGACAGCAGCAAAUGAUCAUAGUCUGUUAGACUAAUGUGGCCAAGACAAAAAGCAUGUGAAGUCUGUGAUCCGCACAGGAGAUCAAUACAACUGAUCCUCUCACGGGCCCUCAAUAAUGACCAAAAUCAGGGAAGUUAAACAGUGUGGAAAGAACUUGGUUGCUUCAUCACUGGCAUCCAGUGUUGUUUUAGCUAUUACAGCAUAGCCUGUCUGGCAUCCAUUUGCCACCCUGGUGGAGUGUCAGUCUGCUUUAGGUUGUGCGUCAUACCUGCUAUUCCCGUACAGAUGUCUUGGAUACCUUAAGACCUCUCAAAUGGCACUGGGCAUUGAGCAUGACCAGAGGAAUCCUGUCACUUGCCUUAUGAAGCAUCAUGCUCUUGAAGGGCCACAACAGUGUGGUAGUGGCCACAGCCCAGCGUGGCAGCAGUGGGUAAGCUGAAGAAAUCUUUAAAUGGAAAGACUGAAGUGUUUUGGUUUGGUUGGAAAACUGAACUAGCUUGCCAGAGGGAAAGCGAAGGAAACCAGAACAUUUUCCCAAGGAGAAGGAAACCAUCACAAAUUUGGUCAGCUCCAACAGGGAAGGCACCAAACAGAUCUUGUCUGGUAAAUGUUAAGCUCAUUGUCAGGAACCACCAAAUCGUUGGCAUAUACGUGUGGGGAAGGGAGCAAGCAAGGUCAAAGAGAUGCACUAUGUGCACAGAGCAGAAGAGGCUAAGUUUUGCAGUGUUGUUUAGCUCUUUCAGAUGAUUGUUCUUCAUUUCAUAAUGAAGUCAUGAACAGCCCACAGGAGAUCCCACCUCUUGUACAGAUGAACUCUAACCUUGUUAUAGAGAGCCCUGCAGGGACAGAGGGCCAUAACUGAUGACUGUGAUCCUCAUCCUCUCUUUAUGUUUUGUCUUCAAGAGGAUAAUGGAAGGCUAUUUCUCCAAUUAGAUACUGUGCAUCUCAGGCAGGGCAUGGUACCUUUUGUUUGUGAUUCACUUUCUUGAUCCAAAGGAGUCAGAGUUACCAUCCCUGGGCUCCUUCACUGCAACACAGAGAGUGUCACGGUGCCUCCGUGUCUUUCCUGCUGUGGAACACUGGCAGACUGAAGAUGAAGAUUUUGUAGACAUACUUGUAUAAUGAGCCGUGACAGUGCCAGUUGCCUGCAAUAGUCUUGCCUGCUUUGGAAAUCCCUUCUCUCCUCCAUUCAAAGCCUGUCUCCUAUUGUGAGAUGCACUGUCUAUGUACGUAGCUUGCAGCAUGAAUAGGCAUAGCUGAGUAAGUACUAACUUCACAGAUCUGGAAUUAAGGUAUAUAUAAAGUGAUUUAUUUGGGUUUAUUUAGGAAGUAUGUGGCACAGUUAGGAAUAGACCAACUAACUUAAAGUCCAAGUAUUGGUCUUUACCAGAGCCCAUCCUUACUCCUGUUCUACCUACCUGUUAACAGUCUCUUCAUUAGAUGCUUUCAGUCCCACUGAGAAAUUCUCCCUGGAGCUUCCAACCCACUCUGGUAUGACAAGAUGACAACAGUUGUAAUGAAAUAAUUCUUUUUUUUUUUUUUUUUCCUUUUUGUUCCUUUCCAUUUGCUAUCAGAAAUACCAUUAGAAAGCUCAUUUCCAUGAAACCAGGAUGGAAUGGACAUUUCAACGUGUGUCAGUAUGACUUUUUAAGGAUAGCUGCACCAUGGGAGAAUACUUGCUUCAGACUGAUCAGAUGGAAGAAAAGGCUGUCAACUUAGCUUGACACAAACUGCAAAUUUGACUCAAAAAAGUUCCUGAAAAAUUGUAUGGUUUGUUGUUUAAGGUACGUCAAAUCUUUUUGGAGAGAUAUCCAAUCCCAAUUUAAUUUCUAUGAAAUCUUGUUCUUGGCCUGUGUGGAACUGUACCACAGCUUCAGUGAUGGGAGGAAAUCCAGCUGUGAAGGGUCCUUAAGUUAUGGUCCAGCCAUUUGCACCUCUGGAAUUUCAUAAUAAAUGGAAUCAACUGAACGUGGUGGGGAGGUUAGACAAUGAACAGAUCUGAAUGAGUGGUGAAACCCAUGACUCAUCUCAGUGUCUAAUUUCAUUCCUGUUCAGAUUGUUUAUCUAGGAAGAAAAGGGCAGAGAAUGUAUAAGGAUAUAUGUGCUGUUUAUUUAAAUGUGUAGUAGGAAGCUAAUUCCUAGGUAGAAGCUCUGCUCUGAAGCAGUGAGAGGGAGAGACUGAUUUGCUGUAGGAAUAUCAUUAAUUUAUUUAUUUUAAUGACAUUUCUUGUCUUUUGUUUCAUGUGUAACAAAAGACCAUAGUGACUUUCUUCGAAGUCCAUCUGUCUGAGAUCCUUCUUUGUUAUUGAUUUCCAUUCAACUCCUUCCAGCUUCUCUAUGAGUUGAUGGCAUUCGAGGGCCAAAGCCUUGUGAUGUAUUUGCUGUGGUUUUAUUAAUGCUGUACAAAGCCUCAUCUCUUCCCUAGUUCCUGAUUGUGGUGAGCCAGAGGAUGGAAAACCAAGCGGCAGUGAAGCAUUUCAAUAUCCUAUUUCACUGCAAACUCGCAUUAGAUUUGUUAUUCUCUUUGAAGUCAGCAGAAAAACCGUGACUGACAUCAACUGAAUAUCUGGUUCUGUGUUUCUGACAACAUUACUGCUUGUCUUGUUUAGCAGUCCCUGUGGCCGUGGAGACUGAAAAGUAGCUCCAGCAGUUUCUCAGAGGUUGGGAAUGCUAAGAGCCCCGAUAACUCGCCCUCUAACCAGCCUGCCGUACUUGUCCCCCAUUUUCAUCAGCUUGUUCUAACCCACUAGUGCCACUGCCACCAUGUCUCUGCCCAGCCUUUCUGUGCUAAAUUGUCAGUAGGCAUAACAGCAGGAGGAUGAAGGUAGCUGUUGGGUGUGAAAGGAGAAGUAGGCAAAUAUUUUGCUUGCCCAAGGGCGGGAAUGUGCCAUCAAUGUAUCUGGCUAUUUCCCUGAAUAACAUGUUGCAGAGGAUUUUCUGUAAGAGACAGGCCUCCUCUUUAGCAUCCUGCCUCCAAAAAUAACUUGUGCCUGAUAUUUCAAAACCCUUCGUAAUGUACCUUGCCAGUUACAUAUUGCUGAGCAGGAGGGUCGAGAGGAUUAUUUCAGCUGUGGCAAUCAGUUUACACCUUGAACCACAAGAUCGGAUUACUUUUGGUAUUUAAUUUUGAAAUAUUUCCCCCAGAUGUACUGUACCUUUGCAUGUUUUUGGGAUGAAUUUCAUUUUGUUAUUUCCUGCUCUUAUUUCUAAGCUUUCUUAGGUCCUCUGUGUUAUUUCUCUGUCUUCGCUUAUGUUUGCAACACUUCCUAAUUUGGUAUCAUCUGCAAAUUUAAUUAUUGUCUCAGCUCUUUGUAUCACCUGAUCAGUGGUUUUAAAAUAUUAAUGAAAUAUUAAAAACCAGAGUUUAACACAGUCCCUACAAAUUUCCCAAUGGGCAGUUCCCUAAAAGCAUUUAUUUGUGAGUGGGUUGGUUAUAUAUUUAAUGUAUAUGACACUCUGGAAGUAUACAGGACCACUCAAUAGAAAUUACGGACAUUAAUUCAUGUUUUAUUUGCUCUGAAAAACUUAGUCUACAGGCAUCGCAAACAUGAGAAAUAGCAUAAAUAGUUAUGGAGUGGGGGCAUGGCUGUACAACUGAAUGUAUGUGGUUUUGAGUUUUCUGUGGGAAGCCUCUAGCAAAAGUGAAUUCAAAGUUGUCAUAAACAUAUUUCAUGGCAUAGAUGAAAAAUAAAGACUGUGGCAGGAGAAGAAUACUCAGAUGGUCCAAAAAAGCCUGGUAUUUCUUUUAAGGAGUGGGACCAAAGAAAAAAAGUAGUAAAGAAAGAGGUCCAAGGGCAGUGUUUUGCAGUGCUCUGAAAUGGUGUUUUGAAUUUGAUUUAUAAUAACUGGAAAUCAAGGUGCUGAGAAGGAAGGGUAUGAAAAGAGAAGAAUGAUCAAAAUGUCCAUUGAAACAAAGGGAGUAAGAAAGCUGCAAGACAAAAAAAAUAUCAUUGAUACAGCUGAGGCAGCAGAUGACUAAUGUAUGAACUCUGAGUAAAGGAAUAAAGAGAAGGCUGAAUUUUUAAAGUUUUUAGACCUAGUUUUCUGGAAGCAUCUAAAUAAGCACAUAGUUGAAUAUUUCAGUUGACUUUCCAUUAAAUGAUUUACUAA